AACCCUUCACUUCCGAGAACAGUGGCGAACGGGUGAGUAAUACAUAAGAAACCUGACAUCUACAGGGGGAUAACUGAUGGAAACGUCACCUAAUACCCCAUAUGUGUAGACAUCGCAUGAACUCUAUAUGAAAAGUGCUACGGGACUGGAAGAUGAUGGACUUAUGGCGCAUUAGCUUGUUGGUAGGGUAACGGCCUACCAAGGCGACGAUGACGUACCCGACAAGAGAGGGUGCCGGACCACACUGGGAAGGAGACACGGCCCAGACUCGUAUGGGACGCAGCCCAAAGUAAUUUUCGAGCACAUGCAGGAAACCCUGACCAAUCAACGCCUCGUGAACGAAGAAGUAAUUCCUUAUGUAAACUUCUGUCAUAGAGGAAGAACGGAGGAUAUAGGAAAUGAUAUCCAAGUGACGGUACUCUAUAAGAAAGCCACGGCUAACUACCUGCCAGCAGCCGUAGGUAAUAGGUAGGCGACGAUGCUUUAUCAAGGUAAUUAUUGGGAGUAAAGAGGGAGCAGGAGGCAAUAGAGGGUAUGUGAAUAAAGAUGGUAGCUCAACUUCGGUAAUUCAUAGAAACUGUUGAGGUAGAGUGUGUGAGAGGAUGGUAGAAUUCCAGGUGUAGCGGAGAAAUGAGUAGAUAUAAGGAGGAACACCAGUGAAGAAGGCGACGAUGUCGCGCAUAACUGACGAUCAGUCCAGAAAGCGUGAGCAACAAAUAGGAUAAGAUACCGUAGUACUCCCCGCAAUAAACGAUGAGUAUUAAGUGUUGGGGGUCAAACCUCAGUGGCGCAGUUAACGCACUAAGUACUCCGCCUGAGUAGUACGUUCGCAAGAAUGAAACUCAAAGGAAUUGACGGGGGCCCGCACAUAGCGGUGGAGCAUGUGCUUUAUUUUGAAGCAACGCGAAGAUCCUCAAUAGGUCUUCACUUUUAUUUAAAGGGUCCAGAGAGGGAGAGAUAUUUAUAGAGAAGACAGGUGUCGCAUGGUUGUCGUCAGCUAGUGUUGUGAGAUGUUUGUCUAAGUCACGCAGCGAGCGCAACCCCUCUUUCCAGUUGCCAACAUUAACUUGGGGGGUCUGUCGCGUCUCCCGGUGACAAGUCGGAGGAGGGCGGGGAUGACGUCAAAUCAUCAUGUCCCCUUAUGACCAGGGCUGCACAGGGGGUACAAUGGACAGAGCCGAUGGAAGCGAAGCCGCGUGGCGGAGUGAAACCCAUAAACCUGUUGUCAGUUUGGACUGCAGUCCGCUACUUGGAGGCAGGAAGAUGGAAUUGGUAGUAAUCGCGAAUCAGCAUGUGGCGGUGAAUAAGUUCUCGGCCCUAGCACACACCGCCCGUCA
rnacentral:rRNA from 1 species